UUUUUUUCUCUCUGCUUCCGUUGACUUUGUGGCGGGUCAGAGCGGCUUCUAAGGAGCUCACAAGAGAUGAGGAACGGCCCAUGAGUCUAACGUCGGGAAGCAGAUUGCCUGCCUGGUUUAGAAGAGGAAGGAGCUUCUGGAUCCUUGGAUGCUAUCGAUCUUUCGAUACUAAUUAAGGAAAAUAUUAGCCUACUUUUGGGGCAGGAAGCACUCCUUUUGGCAUCUUCUGACGACGACGACGCUGAGUUUUUAGUCAACCAUUGAAAAAUAUAUGGAGCAGUAAGUAGAACAGGUCUCCAUCCAUCACUGACUAAGGGACAGAGGGAAUUUGAAGGAUGUUAUAGAGUUAGUGUACAAAGCCCUCUCUCUCUCUCNNNNNNNNNNNNNNNNNNNNAGUAGUAGUAGUAGUAGUAGUAGUAGUAGUACGUACUACUACUCUCUCUCUCUCUCUCUCUCUCUCUCUCUCUCUCUCUCUCUCUCUCUCUCUCUCGCUCUCUCUCUCUCUCUAUCAAUAAACUUCUGGUGUCUUCACCUGAAUAAACUGUCUAGCGGAUAUUUUGCUCAAAAUUAGUCAACCCAUACGAUCCAAACAUAUGUAGUGUAGCCCAAGUAGAUAAUCGACCUAAAAUAAUGGUACAAGGGAUUCGGCAUUGCAAAUGCAAUGAAGAAAAUAAAGAAUAUUACCAUGACAGGUAAUAUAAUACGAAUUUACUUACCCAGAAUAUAGCAUUUAGGACAGGACAAAGUCAACUGCCAGAAUAUUGAGACGACACAAUGUGGUUCACAGUUUAUGAAACAAAUGUCAAAGAACAUGCUUUAUUCAUGCUUAAACCACCUGAGAAACUAAGGAAGUCUGAUACAAUUGGAAGGAAUAUUCAAGCAAAGGCAGCAUAUUCAUGCUCCCAUCGGUGAAAAUUUUGAAUCGAACAGAUUAUUUUUCUUGGUAACUAAAAUUAAAUCGCAUCGUCAAGAUCAUUUAUGAGCUAUCUGCCUGUUACAUACCCAUAUUCAUCCUUUCAGUGAAUACUCCGCCCAAACUGCAAGAUCAACCUUCAGGAAAAUAAGAACAUUUCUCAACGUGGAUAUAAGUGGGAUAUGUAGCAGACCUCUGCAUUGUUGAGCGCCAUUC
rnacentral:lncRNA from 1 species